AACGAACGCUGGCGGCAUGCCUAACACAUGCCAGUCGAACGAGACCUUCGGGUCUAGUGGCGCACGGGUGCGUAACGCGUGGGAACCUGCCUUUAGGUUCGGAAUAACUCAGAGUAAUUUGAGCUAAUACCGGAUGAUGUCUUCGGACCAAAGAUUUAUCGCCUUUAGAUGGGCCCGCGUUGGAUUAGCUAGUUGGUGGGGUAAAGGCCUACCAAGGCGACGAUCCAUAGCUGGUCUGAGAGGAUGAUCAGCCACACUGGGACUGAGACACGGCCCAGACUCCUACGGGAGGCAGCAGUGGGGAAUAUUGGACAAUGGGCGAAAGCCUGAUCCAGCAAUGCCGCGUGAGUGAUGAAGGCCUUAGGGUUGUAAAGCUCUUUUACCCGAGAUGAUAAUGACAGUAUCGGGAGAAUAAGCUCCGGCUAACUCCGUG
rnacentral:rRNA from 1 species